GAAGGAUCAUUACCUAGAGUUGUAGGCUUUGCCUGCUAUCUCUUACCCAUGUCUUUUAAGUACCUUACGUUUCCUCGGCGGGUCCGCCCGCCGAUUGGACAAUUUAAACCAUUUGCAGUUGCAAUCAGCGUCUGAAAAAACUUAAUAGUUACAACUUUCAACAACGGAUCUCUUGGUUCUGGCAUCGAUGAAGAACGCAGCGAAAUGCGAUAAGUAGUGUGAAUUGCAGAAUUCAGUGAAUCAUCGAAUCUUUGAACGCACAUUGCGCCCCUUGGUAUUCCAUGGGGCAUGCCUGUUCGAGCGUCAUUUGUACCUUCAAGCUCUGCUUGGUGUUGGGUGUUUGUCUCGCCUCUGCGUGUAGACUCGCCUCAAAACAAUUGGCAGCCGGCGUAUUGAUUUCGGAGCGCAGUACAUCUCGCGCUUUGCACUCAUAACGACGACGUCCAAAAGUACAUUUUUACACUCUUGACCUCGGAUCAGGUAGGGAUACCCGCUGAACUUAA
rnacentral:rRNA from 3 species